rnacentral:rRNA from 1 species
GACGAACGCUGGCGGCGUGCUUAACACAUGCAAGUCGAACGGAAAGGCCCUGCUUUUGUGGGGUGCUCGAGUGGCGAACGGGUGAGUAACACGUGAGUAACCUGCCCUUGACUUUGGGAUAACUUCAGGAAACUGGGGCUAAUACCGGAUAGGAUCUCCUGCUGCAUGGUGGGGGUUGGAAAGUUUCGGCGGUUGGGGAUGGACUCGCGGCUUAUCAGCUUGUUGGUGGAGUAGUGGCGUACGAAGGCUUUGACGGCUAGCCGGCCUGAGAGGGUUACCGGCGACAUUGGGACUAAGGGAGGGCCCAGAAUGCUACGGGACGCAGCAGUGGGAAAUCUUGCACAGUGGGCGGGAGCCAGAUGCAGCAACGUCGCGUGCGGGAUGACGGCCUUCGGGUUGUAAACAGAUUUGGACUGUGACGAGGAGUGAGUGACGGUAAUGGGUAAAAAAGCACCGGCUAACUACGUG